rnacentral:rRNA from 1 species
GUGCCAGCCGCCGCGGUAAUACGGAGGGUGCAAGCGUUAUCCGGAUUUACUGGGUUUAAAGGGUGCGUAGGCGGAUAAGUAAGUCUGUGGUGAAAUCCUGCAGCUUAACUGCAGAACUGCCGUGGAUACUAUUUGUCUUGAAUAUCGUGGAGGUUAGCGGAAUAUGUCAUGUAGCGGUGAAAUGCCUAGAUAUGACAUAGAACACCCAUUGCGAAGGCAGCUAACUACGCGAUUAUUGACGCUGAUGCACGAAAGCGUGGGGAUCAAACAGGAUUAGAUACCCUAGUAGUCC